rnacentral:rRNA from 1 species
UACGUAGGGGGCAAGCGUUGUCCGGAAUCAUUGGGCGUAAAGCGCGUGUAGGCGGUCCGGUAAGUCCGCUGUGAAAGUCGGGGGGCUCAACCCUCGGAUGCCGGUGGAUACUGUCGGGCUUGAGUACGGAAGAGGCGAGUGGAAUUCCUGGUGUAGCGGUGAAAUGCGGCAGAUAUCAGGAGGAACACCGGUGGCGAAGGGCGGAUCUCUGGGCCUUACCUGACGCUCAGGUGCGAAAGCUAGGGGGAGCAAA